GGAGGGGUGGCUGAGUGGCCGAAAGCAGUCGCCUGCUAAGCGAUUGGUCUGCCAAAAGUGGACCCCUGGGUUCAAAUCCCAGCCCCUCCGCCA
rnacentral:tRNA from 1 species